rnacentral:rRNA from 1 species
UACGUAGGGCGCAAGCGUUGUCCGGAAUUAUUGGGCGUAAAGAGCUCGUAGGCGGCUUGUCGCGUCUGUUGUGAAAGCCCGGGGCUUAACCCCGGGUCUGCAGUGGAUACGGGCAGGCUAGAGGCAGGUAGGGGAGAACGGAAUUCCCGGUGUAGCGGUGAAAUGACGUAGAUAUCUGGAGGAACACCGGUGGCGAAGGCGGCAUCCUGGACCGGUAUUGACGCUGAGGCGCGAAAGCCAGGGGAGCAAACGGG